rnacentral:rRNA from 1 species
CUACGGGUUGCACCAGUGGGGAAUAUUGGACAAUGGGGGGAACCCUGAUCCAGCCAUGCCGCGUGUGUGAAGAAGGCCUUUUGGUUGUAAAGCACUUUAAGCAGUGAAGAAGACUCUUCGGUUAAUACCCGGGGACGAUGACAUUAGCUGCAGAAUAAGCACCGGCUAACUCUGUGCCAGCAGCCGCGGUAAUACAGAGGGUGCAAUCGUUAAUCGGAAUUACUGGGCGUAAAGCGAGCGUAGGUGGCUUGAUAAGUCAGAUGUGAAAUCCCCGGGCUUAACCUGGGAACUGCACCUGAAACUGUUAGGCUAGAGUAGGUGAGAGGGAAGUAGAAUUUCAGGUGUAGCGGUGAAAUGCGUAGAGAUCUGAAGGAAUACCGAUGGCGAAGGCAGCUUCCUGGCAUCAUACUGACACUGAGGCUCGAAAGCGUGGGUAGCAAACAGGAUUAGAUACCCUGGUAGUC